UUUUAUGGAGAGUUUGAUCCUGGCUCAGGAUGAACGCUGGCGGCGUGCCUAAUACAUGCAAGUCGAGCGAACGGACGAGAAGCUUGCUUCUCUGAUGUUAGCGGCGGACGGGUGAGUAACACGUGGAUAACCUACCUAUAAGACUGGGAUAACUUCGGGAAACCGGAGCUAAUACCGGAUAAUAUUUUGAACCGCAUGGUUCAAAAGUAAAAGACGGUCUUGCUGUCACUUAUAGAUGGAUCCGCGCUGCAUUAGCUAGUUGGUAAGGUAACGGCUUACCAAGGCAACGAUGCAUAGCCGACCUGAGAGGGUGAUCGGCCACACUGGAACUGAGACACGGUCCAGACUCCUACGGGAGGCAGCAGUAGGGAAUCUUCCGCAAUGGGCGAAAGCCUGACGGAGCAACGCCGCGUGAGUGAUGAAGGUCUUCGGAUCGUAAAACUCUGUUAUUAGGGAAG
rnacentral:rRNA from 1 species